GGAAAAACCAUCUAGAAUUUAUGAUUCCAAACAAUUCAUAGGAAUUGGUACUCUACAUCUAUAUUAGGUGAGAGAAGAAAGUGACAAAGCACGGGGAACGGGAUAUGAAUCAGCCUGGAGACUGGUUAUGGAUUCUUUGUUGCAGCUGCUAUAACUUUAGGAUAACACAGGUAAAGCUACCUUUAUCAUUCUUAAGCAGCGGAAGUUGAGUCCAGAAAGUGUUCAACGCAUGGAAGCAUCUCCAUGAGAAGCAACAGAACGCCAAGAAGGCCAUUAACAGCAGAUUACAUUAUAAGACACAAGAAAGACAGCUAGACAGCGAGUGAACAAACAGAGAAGGCAUAAAAAGCAAAAGCUUCUCCUUUUAUCUGGUUUGUGUGCCUUUCUUUUUCUUCCUUAUACAUUUUAUCUACUUAUUUGUUUUGUAGAAAGACUGUAAAAUAGUUGAACAUGACUGAACUGUGAAAGGACAGUAGAUGAAUAGAGAAUUGUGGAAUAACAGCACCUGCCUUAGAACAUUAUGCGUCUGCAUCCCUGAAGAUAUGCAUGCCUCUAUUUGGAAACUCAAUGAACAGAAAGCACAACAUUAUUUAAUAUUGUCUGUUAAUUUGCCUCAGCUGGAGACAGCUCACCCAUCCUGAUAUGGUACCUGCAUGCAUAGA
rnacentral:lncRNA from 1 species